rnacentral:rRNA from 1 species
CCCUUAGAUGUCCGGGGCCGCACGCGCGCUACAAUGGAUGAAUCAACGCGUCAUCCUGGCCCGAAAGGGUUGGGGAACCGCUGAACCUCAUCCGUGGUUGGGAUUGGGGUUUGUAAUUAUCCCCCAUGAACUAGGAAUUCCCAGUAAGCGCGAGUCAUAAGCUCGCGUUGAUUACGUCCCUGCCCUUUGUACACACCGCCCGUCGCUACUACCGAUUGGAUGGUUUAGUGAGAUCCUCGGAUUGGUCACGGCACGGUGGCAACACUGCGUCGGUGUGCCGAGAAGACGAUCAAACUUGAUCAUCUAGAGGAAGUAAAAGUCGUAACA